GGACCGUGUUUAUUCCUCUUUUUUGGCUGUGUUAUGACUGUGUAGAUAUCAAAACCCUUCAGAUGAGAUGCCUGAACUCCUGAAAUCCUCCUGUACCAGAUGCACACUUUAAUAGAUAGGGUGGAGCUUCAGCGGUUCACAACAUAGUGUGUGGAGGGUUAAAAGACUGAACCAUGAAGUUGAUAGUGGAUGUAGUGUGGAUGAUAUGGGGCAUCGGUGCAUCUGUGUACGAUUACUUCCACACCAGCGCCAUGGAGGAGAGGAUCCACACUCUGGAGAACGUCCUCACCAUCCACCAGUUUCUCAUCGUGUUCCUCUCAGCAAGCCUCGUCCUGCUUAUCUCCUACAUCGUCUUUAAGAAGAAAUGACAUGCCGGAAACCUCGAAAACCUGGGAGCCUCGAGGAACCAUGAGACAACCACUCUGCUCCUCAGUGAAUGAGGAUGAUUGUAUAGAUAGAUGAACGGUUGUGUCAGAUUGUCUGACCAUAUCAAAUGUAGCUAUGAAACAUUGACAAGGUUUACAAUAUUUUGUAUUUAAAGAAAUACACCAUUUCUAACAUGUUGUUCUACAGAGACAGUUUUGUCUACCAUGUUUCUCUUGUCAUGACCUGUGGAAUUAUGGGAUUACAACAUAACUGUGCACUCAAUAUCACACCAUACAACAGAUUACCAGAACUCUCAAAAACUAUUUUUUCUUCCUCAAACCAAGUUCAAGUACGUUUUUUUUAGUACUCAUCAAUACAGAUACAGUAAUGAUUAACCUACUUAGAAUAUUAAUCAUGCUAAGUAGAUUAGCAUGCCACAAAUAACAUGUUAUGGCGCUUAAAUGGUCUCAUUAAUAGAUGGUGUGAAGGUGGCCAUCUUGAGGAAGCUGACGUUGCUCAAUGCUUGUCAUGUGCAACAGUUUCUCUUUACAGCUCCACUGUUAUUUUUAAUGACCACACUGGCUGAAACUGCUCUGUACGCUCAGCUCAACACUCUAUAUUAAUAAAGAUACUGUUUAAAUGCCGUGAGAUGACUGAUCAGGUGCUUGUAUUGUAAGAAGUUGCUGUAGUAGCAUGUUUGCCUUGCACUCCAGGGUUGGGGGUUUAAAUCCUGUCUCCACCCUGUGUGCACAGAGCUUGUAUGUUCUCCCAGUACUUUGGGAGUUUCUUCUGAGUACUCAGACCAAAGACUGAUUGGCAUUUCCAAAUUGCCUGUAAUGUGUGUGAGAUUUUGCCCUGCGAUGGCUUGGCACUCUGUACAGGGUGUCCCCCAACUUGUGCCCCGAGCUCCCUGAGAUAGGCUCCAGGCCCCCCUGUGUAGGAUAGGCAGUACAGAAAAUGAUGGAUGGAAAUACCUCCAGAUUGCUGGCAUUUUGUGUUCCCGAGCGCAGCAACA
ensembl:lncRNA